UAGUUUCAGGUGUAGAAUUUAGUGAUUUAUCACUUACAUACAACACCCAGUGUUCAUCACAAGUGUGCUCCUGUUGAACCCAUCCUACCACCACCCCCACCUCCCUUCCAGCAACCCUGAAUUUGUUCUUUACAGAUUUCUGUGACUUCUCUGACUAAAAAGGAAUUCCCUGGGACCAUUUGGAGAAGCUCCACAUCACUGCACCAGCUCACCCUCUUCAGUGGAAAGCUGAAAGACAUUUCAGGGGUUUCAAUCCCACAUGAUUGAGGUGGGGUUCCCACAAUUAAUAGUUCUCAUCACAGAUGGUGCCUCCUUCCCAGAGGAUGAGCACAAACUAAUGGUUAUUAUGGCAGAAGAGAAGCAAAAGAGAUGCUUCAUGACUGGAGGGCUGAGUGUCACAGGAGGCAUGUGACAGAGGCAGCAUUGUGACAAGCUGGAUGAUGUCUCCUCACAAUUGGUAUGAAGCCUCUGCUUACACCUGGAGAAAGAGCAGUGAAGGCAGAAAGAAAGUCCAUAGCCUCGUGGAGCUGGCAGCUUCAGAGGAAAUGCAGGUGUUAAGGAGAUUAAAGAGCAGAGAUGGGGCAGCCCCGGUGGCGUAGCGGUUUGGCACCGCCUGCAGCCCGGAGUGUGAUCCUGGAGACCCGGGAUCGAGUCCCACGUCGGGCUCCCUGCGUGGAGCCUGCUUCUCCCUCUGCCUGUGUCUCUGCCUCUCUCUCUCUCGCUCUCUCUGAAUGAAUAAAUAUUUAAAUCUUAAAAAAAAAAAAAAGAGCAGAGAUGGCGUGCCACCUGAUAAUGCAGGUUCUGGAGUAGAACCAAGGAUGGAGGUGGGCCGGGAGACUGGGGGAACUCAGGGAGGGCCUCUCUGAGUGGCGGGUCACAUAAGCAGCGAGGGCACCUCAGGAAGAGCUCUGUGGAAUGAGGGAGACAACAGAAGGCAGCUGUGAAGUGGGCCUGGGGGCGGUGGGGGUACGAAUCAGCUGGCGGCCAGAUCUGGAGCGCAGAGGAGCAACCACAGCUGCAGCUGUAAGUGGGCAGGGUCCCUGGGGAGUGCCCUUGCUGAGUGAGAGAAGAUGUCCACGGCUGGGCAGAUUCGGGGGGCAACUCCAACAGGCCUGUUUGUGGUCCCUGUCAGGUGACUUUUGGACGGUUAGACAUCCCUCCAAGUCCUCCUGCUUCUGAGAUUCAUUUCCAGGCCUAAUAUGCUAUAAAUCCACCAUCGAAUCCAUCACCUCCUGCCGCUCAAGGCUGAAGUUCUUCAUUCCAGAUGAGCAACGUUAAUCCUCCAAUCCUUCCUGAAAAUUACACUGAAACUGGUUAACGGAGGCAUGGAAAGAGAUUCAAAACAAGAUAUAUCAUUUGUAUCAUCUCAUUCAGUUCUCAGUAUGGCCAUACAAGGUAGCAUCUGCUAUGAUUCCCAUUUGACAAAUGUGGAAACUGAGAUUCCAUUAGGUCCCUCAUUCCAGGUUCACCAGUCUCGAGCACAAGGGCCGAUACUCGUAGUGUUCUCCAGUGAAGACACUGCCGUGGGAUCCAGUGACCAGGCAACAGAGGCAUCCUUUCUCAGCUGUGUUGAAGUUCCAGGUGUACAACAUAGUGAUCCAGCUAUUCUGUACAUUAUUCAGUGCUCGUCAAGGUAAGGGUCCUCUUAAUCCCCAUCACCUAUUUCAGUGCUCGUCAAGGUAAGGGUCCUCUUAAUCCCCAUCACCUAUUUCACCUGUCCACCUGCCCACCUUCCCUCUGGGAUUCACCAGUUUGUUCUU